CCUGGGGUGGCCGAAGAGGCCCAGAUGGUGAAUGAAAAGCUGGAGAGGGUGGACUGCGAAGAGUUGCCGUCAGUAACGGAGAAAGAAGAAGCCGUGCGUAUGCCAGAGCCUGCCGGGGGGGAGGACUGCAGAGAGCUGGAAGCAAAUCCCCUGGUAAGGGAAGAAACUUUAAAGCAAUUUCAAGUAGGAGCUGAAAAGGAGGUGCUGCUGAUGAAUUCCUCUGCUCCGUGCGAGAAAAUACAGGAGAAGGAAUGUGUGGGAGAUGGGCAGCUGCUACCAGCUCCCUUCACUCUGUGUGCUAGAGAAACAGGUCAGGGAGAGGGAGGGGCAUGCCCACCAGAUCUUUGCGUUCUGUGUGCUCCUGUUACAGAGACAGUGCCGAAAGAAAAGCUGGAGGUGUGUGUGCCUGCUGCAAAAGGGAAGAAGCAGGUGGGAGUUCAAGUCCAAGCGGAGCUCCCAGUGCCUGCAGAGAAGGGUGAGUUAAAAUCCCCCAGUGACAUUGCCCCUGGGAUGCGCCGUGAUGAUCCCAUAAAGGGAGAAGCAAGUCCUAUGAUGGGGGUAGUGCCCGGGCGCAUUCCAGCCGUAACAAGCACCCCGUGCCCUGUGAAGGUUAAAAGGCACAGGGAGGGUUGUCUACAUUUGUUUGAGCCUCUGAGUUAUUGUGGAAAAGGGCAAAAGCAAUUUCUCGCUGCCGACCUGGGAGGGUUGGGGCAGCUAAUUGCAAAGAAGAUUCCCCCCGAUAAAGUUGCCUACCAGCUGGAAGACCAAACUUUCUCUUGGGAAGAAGAGCAAGGUCAGCCAAGUCAGGGGGUGGAAUGGUGUGCUGUUUGGGCAGUGAUCACAGGUGAGACAAGAGUGUCCCUGCAUGUCUACAUAAGCCCCUGGGCAAAGAGUAAAGAAGUAAAGAAAUGGGCAGAAGAGGAAGGAGUGGCUUGGCUCUACCCUCCAAGAGCAGCCGCCCUAAUCGAAAGAACCAGCGGUCUGAAACAGCAAAUCAAACUUCUGACAGUCAGGUCGGAUUGGAAGCACGGGAAAGGAAGAAACCUGGAAGAAGCCAGCCAUCUACUCAGUCAGAGAGGGCCCCUGGGGGGAGGGUCACCCAUGGAGCAGCUUGUGAAUCCUCCUUCGCUUCAGGAAGCAGGGGGGCACGUGUGGGCACAGCCGCUGGAAGUCGUUUGCUUAACAGCAGAAGAGAUCCCUGGAUGGCCUCUUCAACAGAAGACCUGUUGUGUGCUGCCAAGGAAACACAGCGGUUCCUGGAGAGGAAUCCUGGCACCCUGCCAGUGGCCGAAGAAAUCAGCUUGAACUAGGACCUCCUGAAACUCACGAUGGGGAAGAGCCAUGUGGGCGAAGUUAUGCACAUGAAACUGUAUGCUGGUUUUUCUGAUACAGCUCACUACAUGCUUGGAUAAUCUGCUGCCUUUCAUUGGUCUGGACAGCGUCUGAAGUUAACUCAGCUAUAGCCUGGCCAAGCUGGAAAAUCUGCUCAUUGAUAUCUCAUCAUGCUGAUUUUAAUAAAAGCUUGUUGUGUGCGUUUUAUGAUUUUCUAAAUGAGACCAAACAAUUGCAAAAAUCUUUACAGUCAGUGGUUACCCCACAGGAUACUGAGAAAGGGCUCAAAUGGUUUGACGUGAGGGCCACCCAAACCAGAGCAGUUAGAGUAGGUACCCACAAGUCCAAUGCCACUGUCAGGAUUAGAGGGGGGUUUGGGCAGUUGUUUGAUGGGCUAGGGUGGAUCACCCCUUUAAGAGUAAAUGCCCCACCACAGCCUGAACUCUGUUGGGAACAAGUAAAGCAUAAUAGAACUGCAGCUAAGUUUCAAAGACGAGUGGGUUUUAGCAGGGGAUGUCAAACAGUGCACAAGUGUCCCAAUCCUACUGAUAGUGAGCAAGGCUGGAUAUGUACUAGUUGGACCCUACGACCUGGCAUUAAUUGAGGAGCCCCUAAUGGGAGUUAUGUUCUCUGGGAUUGUUAUGGGGACCCCAUAGAUUUGAAAAAACCCUAGAAAGUCCUCUUGUAGGAAAUUACAGAGCUUGGAAGGUCAGAUGGCAAAAAGACAUUUUCAGCUCAGCUGAGUAUGCUUGGGCCCUGUUUCCCAGUGGAGGGGUGGCAGUAGAAAUAAAGCAUUUGGAAGAAGAUUCUUUCUUAAAUCCUAUUGUACAAUGGUUUCAGGGAAUAGGUGGCUGGUGAAAACAAUUAUUCUCCAUUGGGAUCACUCUUAUUUGUGGUGUUAUAUUAAUCUGCAUAUGUUUGUCUUGCUGGCGUAGUUUUAAUGGGUAAAUAGUUAAGACUACCCUUGGGGGUCAAACGACAGGGCAAAAGAAGAACCGGCCCCUUUCUGGGGUAAGAAGACCUCUGUAACGCGAAGCAUUGACGUCCUUUGACCAUCCAGGGGUGGAAUGUAUACCCUGUGCCAGCUAAUGAUUUUAAGCAAGCUGUUAUAGCCUUAAGUUAAUCAAUAUAUAUUCAACAUGUAUUUGUUAGCAAAGCCUGGAGGCUUGUAUUCCCCUUUCAGGCCCCAGCAUCUUUGGGUAUGUCAGAUCACCUCAUAGCCACCUGCAGUCUAAUCUAGGUGUUUUAAUGAGGAUAUGAUGGCUUGCCCAGUAUGAUGCUGGGAAUGUACCUUGUUAGUUAGAGAAAUAUCAAAGGAGUUUAAUUAGGCAUAUGUUUAAGUAUAUCUUUAUCAGUAGGCAGUUUAUAGUUGGCUUGCCUAGUAUGGUGUUGGAAAGCACCUUGUUAGACUUCAGAGAGUCCUGAUAGGCAUAGAUUCAAUGGAUGGGUCGAAGGACGGUCAAUGACACGAGUCAAGUAACGGUCAAAGAGAACUUUGCUUGUUAGUAAAGAUGAAGAUAAAGAUGGUAGCCAUAUAGUUUGCCAAAAGAAGAUGUCAAGGUGCUCCAAGAAAGAUAUUAUAGUUUUUUAGCAAUUAGUCUGCUUUGAAGGUGUUCUGUGAAAAGGUCAGAACUGCCAAUUAUAUGCAACAUAUGUUACUUCAAAGUGUAUAAUCUCAUUAAUCAUGUAUGUAACUCCAUGUGUAUGCCAAUGAUAUGUGCCAAGAUUUAUACUAUAUAAGCAUGAUCUGUGCCCAGCAUGAGUGUUCAGUCUCUGACGUCCGCUACUGCAGAGCGGUGGGACUGAUCCACUUUUAUUGGGAAUACUUGGCUGAAUGCUGUAAGUUACUCAAUAAAUUUUAACUCUUUG